rnacentral:lncRNA from 1 species
CUGGAUGGGGUCCCCCUCAAGGUCCAGUAGGACCCGCCGGUUUCGUUGGUAGUUUUUGCAACUUUAUAGGCUCUUGGUAAAAUGUUCUAUAAACUCUGUUUUUUCACCUUAAUUUUAGACUUCUUCUAAUAUCUGUUAGUUAUGAACGCAAAAAAAGAAAGAAAAGGAAAACAGAACUUUUUAGGUCGAUUAAUUUUGCCUCUAAGUUCUAUAUAUAAUUUUUUUCCCCAUUUUAUUAUUUAAGCUUGAUUCAGUUGUUAUGACAUUUACCUUAAACUUGAUAUUUGCUAUUCUACAGCCUGAGCUUGUUUUGCUGCUGCUGGUUAUUACAAGACUGUUUUGGACGCCCAAUGGGCCCACCCGGGCCUACAGGACCUUAUGGACCACCUCCACCAUGAUCCAAUUGCUUGAUCCAAAACAGGAGAAAUAAAAUGGUCGAAAGUUUAGAGUUGUGAUUAUAGUUGUUUCCUUCUAUUGGAGCAAGCUCUCCUUUUUGCCUCUUGUGGUCUUCCACAUGUAUAAUUCUCCAAAUUCUCUAAUAUUAAGUAGUAGCUAUUUUGACUCACCCUGUAAAAAGUUGAUUUUCAUAAAGACAUUUGUUAUUAGAACCACACCAAAUAAUUGAAAUAACAACUUUAUAGCAACUUCAUAUUUUAGAUGCCAUAUGAUAGUUGCCUAAAAGGUACUCAAAUGCAAGAGAGAAUUCAAAGAAAGCCAAGAGACAGCAGAAAAUAAAACAAAAAGCGAACAUGAUAAGAUGAAUUCAUCAAACUUGAUUCAAGUAGCUUCUUUCAAGUAGCUUCACGUUUAGCACUAAUAUCUUCCUAGGAUUGUGGAGUUAAAAGGAGAGCAAAAUAAAUACACAAACAUCAUUUACAAGAGUAGCUUCUCUAGUUCUAGCAGAGAUGUAUAUGUAUAAGCCUGUUCUACUAAAUCAAGAAGAUUCUUCCUGUUCCAUUUGAGUAACUCUUCUGUGUGUCAGCUGAGGGCUCAUGUAUUCGAAAUCAUUUUCAGUUGAGAUAUUGGAUGAACUGGAAACUGAACUUGACACCGGAUUAGGACUGUUUACUUGACUCCUAAAGCUCUGAGAAGCAACAUGGUGGGUCGUCCUGGAUGCUUCAGGAGCAGGAUUUCCCUGAGCUUCAGCAGCUAGUCGUCGAAGAAGAUCCGCAACAGUUGGGAGGAACCUUGAUGAGAUGGAAAUAAGUCCAACAAGCUGCAGAAAAGGAAAGCUUAACUUCAGAGAACUCACACAAACUAGUAUCUCUUGCCUUCUAAAUGGAGGUGGGAAAUAAGCAAAAAAGUGUCUCAUUUAGAGAACCACCAAAAAUACAACAUUCUGCAGUACUAUAAAGGGAAAGUUCACAAAAAAGGCAUCCUUAAAGUACAUCAGACUGCAGUAGUAGUCAUAAUUAGCCAAUGCUUCUUCAACACCAAUUACAAAUCUUACUAUAAUUCUCUUACAUCUCAAUAUUCUCUAAUUUGAGAACCUGCUUCUCAAGGUUGUCUAAGCAACGGUUAUCCUGCACUUUAUCGAAAUUAUUGACUUGUGGAAAAAGGUGUUUUACCCACAUCUUAACAUUCUGAACCUAAGAGAGUUUGUCUUCUUAAGCUCAAGAAUCUGUUUCAAAGGGGCUAAGCGUUGAUCAGUGAGUUGAAGACAAAGUACAAAAUAAAUAACUAUGGCACUCGUACAGCUUUA